CAUUAAUCCAGUCCCACCAAGGAUUCUUCUCUGUUCCUGCAACAGCACAGUGGGGACCGAGGGCAGGGGCACUCCGCGCUUCCUUGGUUUGGAAGGGCGCAUGUCUGUAGCCUGUGGCCUGCUGACUCACCCACCUUCUGUUCCCCUACGCUGCAGCCUUCUUCCAACUGCCCUUCGCCACCGGUCCCUUAUCUUCAGAAAGCAUAUUUUCCCUGCUGCUCUGGAUCUUACUGAAUGCUACACAUCUGGCUCUUGACUGCUCUGAUAAUAUGCUGUAGCCCGCUGCUACAGUUUUCUCUUAAUCCUCGAGUGAAAGCGAGGAGAGUGAAAUUUUCUUAUCAGUUGUGAACAACUCCUUCCUCUCCCCAGUUCCCCCAGUAACACCACCAGGUCGUUUCUACAUCAUUCCAAUUUGUGUUUGUACCGGGGCUUUGGAUGUGUGUCAGAUAAAAUGUGUAAGAAAAUAUGAGCUUCAUUGAAAAUGCAACGAAGAAAGGAGUCUUUAAUUAAAGGGAUUGUCACGUUGUCCCUAACCAGUCCCAGCACAUUCAGUCAGGCUUCGACCUUUGGGUUCUGUACUGGCUGUUUUUGUAUGUGAACUUGACACAGGCUAGAAUCAUCGAG